CGCCCGGCCGUGGCCGUGGCCGUGGCCGUGCCGGGGCUGGUGAAGAGGCGCUCCUCCCGCAGCCCUUUCCCCGGGGCGGCAGGCCCGUGGGUCCCGCUGCUCCUGGCUCCAGGACUGGGUGAGGAGGGACGCUGGACGUGCUGAAGGAUUAUGAUAUUUCUGUUGCUGCCUUAGCUGUCCUGUACCAUGCCUAGCAAUGACAACUGAGUCAUAUUCUGCUGAGCAGGCUGCUCCAUACUUAGCCAUCAGACCUGCAUUCUCCAGCAGAUUCAUCAGGCUGACAAUGUAGUGAUGGAGCUGUUUGGUACCCGUAGAGUCCCACUCCAAGGGUUUCUGAGCACCUUGUGUUUAGCUCAGAAAAUCUGUCCUUGCAGCAGCCCUCUGAAGGGGUUGUGAAACCCCGGGGACUCCCAGGGCAGUUCACCAGUUGAAAAAUAUUUUGGAUUGGGUUCUUGUAUCAUCUGAAGUGAACGGCUAAUCCUGGCGCCAGGAUACAGAUACCUACUCGAGAGUGUGGCGCUCUAUUUUUGGCAGAUAAAGGUAAAACAUGUUCCAGUGGGUGGUGGCAGUUGGACCCUGUAUCAAGGCACACAUUUUUAAGCAAAGAAUGGUGCUUUCUCGCCGCUUCAUUCCCUGGCAGAGUAGCUGUACGGUUUAGCUGCUGUUCUCUGGUAUGGCCUUGCCAAUGUCGGCUGGGCUCAUGUGGCCAUCUCCUGCCUGCUGCACUGGCAGUGGUUGCGGGCUGAGUCACCUGUUUCUGGUGGACACGAGUUGUGCUCAGUGCAAGACAUAGCAACUGAAAGUCUCUGGCCUGCCUUACAGGAGGUCUGACAAAGUGACCAUAAUAACCCUUUCUGCCCUGGAAAUCUCUGAAUUCCUGGUAGGCCAAGAAAUGACUCUGUACUUACAUAGCUCAGUGUUGCUAAACCUCUCUUGUUUUGAGGCUUGCAAAACAAAUAGAUACCCCAGAGAAGAUGGUACUAAUCACUGCUGUAAUGACAUAUUCAACUCCUGUUUUUAUGGUUGCUGCAAAGCCUAUUUUGGGGAGACUUUUUUUAAGCUCUUUGGGGAAGAACAGACAAGC